rnacentral:misc_RNA from 1 species
GAUGAAGAACGCAGCGAAAUGCGAUAAGUAGUGUGAAUUGCAGAAUUCAGUGAAUCAUCGAAUCUUUGAACGCACAUUGCGCCCUUUGGUAUUCCUUAGGGCAUGCCUGUUCGAGCGUCUCAGGGACGAACCCUCGCGCGGGUGUACGCGCGGUCGUGGCUGCGGUGGCGUGCCCGAGGCGGCGGCCACCGCGCUGGAAUCCAUGGGCGGACGCCUGCCGCGUGGCCGAGCGUGAUAUGACGCAUUGGCGCUCGCACGCGGCGAGGCUGCCAGCCCUGGCCCGUCUGUCGGGCGGGGGAGAGCAAGACACGUGAACUCCUCGAAUCAGGUAGGGAUACCCGCUGAACUUAAGCAUAUCAAUAAGCGGAGGA